GGGCCGGCAUCGGCCCGCGGCCAAAGGUGUGAUUCCGCCCCGGGACGGGCCGUCGUGGUAUCAGGUUGUUGGCGGGGUAGCGGCCCACCAAGCCAUUGACGCCUACCGGGCGUGCGAGCGUGGCCCGGCACACUGGGACUGAGACACUGCCCAGACUCCUACGGGAGGCUGCAGUCGAGAAUCUUCGGCAAUGGGCGCAAGCCCGACCGAGCGACGUCGCGUGGAGGAUGAAGGCCUUCGGGUUGUAAACUCCUGUCGGGGGGGAACAAGGGCCGGUGCAGAGCCGGCCUUGAGUGAUCCCCGGAGGAAGCACGGGCUAAGUUCGUGCCAGCAGCCGCGGUAAGACGAACCGUGCGAACGUUAUUCGGAUUCACUGGGCUUAAAGGGCGCGUAGACGGGUGACCACGUCGAUGGCUGAAAGCCCCCGGCUCAACCGGGGAAGUGGCCUCGAUAC
rnacentral:rRNA from 1 species